ACCAUGAAAAAGGAAGCGCCAAAACGAUCCCUGCUCCGUACCUUGGGGCUCGGGAUCAAGGUAGGACUUGCUCUUGAGGCAGCAGGGCUUGUUGGAUCUUACAUUAUGUGGCGCAAAAUGAACAACGAUAGAGAUUUUAGGUAUAAGGUCUACCAAAUGUCACCGCCAGUGCUGAACUAUUAUUACAAAGUUGGUGAAACCCUAGGAGGAAGCUCAUGCAGACAAGAUGACUAUGCAGCUUGGGGUGUGAAAGAAUUAGAGUGAAGAGCAAAAUGGAUUAGGGGAAAGUUGAAACAUUUGAUUUUUGAAGACUGCUAAAAUAAUGGAUGCUCAUUCAUUCGUCAGUGGUUGUGAAUUAUAGUCUCUGGAAGUGAAAAUGAAUGUGUUUGCUGAGGUUGAAUGGUAUACCUUCAUGUGUAUUGUUGAAAUUAUUUAUAUAGUGUCAUAUUGUAAAAAUGUAUUAAUGUCACUCUCAAAUGUGCUAGGUGUGCCCUUUUUGUGUGAAUACAUUUUAACAAAGUGAGUUAUUAUGUUAUGUCUUAAAGAAAAAAUACAAGUCAUUGUAUCAAAAUGUUGG